rnacentral:rRNA from 1 species
CCUACGGGUGGCAGCAGUGAGGAAUAUUGGUCAAUGGACGAAAGUCUGAACCAGCCAUGUAGCGUGCAGGAUGACUGCCCUAUGAGUUGUAAACUUCUUUUAUAUGGGAAUAAAAUGUUCCACGUGUGGGAUUUUGUAUGUACCAUAUGAAUAAGGAUCGGCUAACUCCGUGCCAGCAGCCGCGGUAAUACGGAGGAUCCGAGCGUUAUCCGGAUUUAUUGGGUUUAAAGGGAGCGUAGGUGGAUUGUUAAGUCAGUUGUGAAAGUUUGCGGCUCAACCGUGUAAUUGCAGUUGAGACUGGGAGUCUAGAGUACAGGAGAGGUGGGCGGAAUGCGUGGUGUAGCGGUGAAAUGCUUAGAGAUCACGAAGAACACCGAUUGCGAAGGCAGCUAACUGGACUGUAACUGACACUGAGGCUCGAAAGCGUGGGUAUCAAACAGGAUUAGAUACCCGAGUAGUC